rnacentral:ncRNA from 1 species
AUGAUAGAGGCGCGUUUGACAAGAGUAUCUCCCGGACAUGCGGCAGGCGCCGCGGGAGAGAAAGGGGAUAACGCCGAGGCGCCGGAGCGCCGCCUGAAGCUCCGGAAGCCGGGACGCGGGAAAACAUUCCGCGGACUGUCACAUGAUGUGGAGAGCUGUC